CGGAGGUGGCCUCCAUGUGAUGCACACGGACGAGGAACAGGCAUCCACCGUUUUGACAAAGUCUGUCCUGGAAAUAACCCCCAAGGCAACCACAGGGCAGGAGGAGAUCUUCCAUCCUGGUGGCGAGAGGGAAGUCCUUAGAGCAGAUUUGCCUGGGAAGACGCCUGCUUCUGCCAUUUCCUACUAACUUGGUUUGAGGAGCCC